GGAUCUGAUCUGUAGGGGUAUUAGUGAGUGGAGAGCUGGUGACGUGGAAGGUAAAUAGCUGGUCUCAAUAGUGUAAUGAUCAUGUACAGUAGGACUGUGGUUGAGUGGUAACAGUCCUGGAUCUAGACACAUCUACUGCAAUCCCCACGUCCUACCCUUCAUCCUAGCAGAGGAAAGGCCCUGACGCGCCCGGAGAUGUUAGUGACAGAUCCGUUCCAGGGAGCGCAGCACGGGGUCCUGACGCUGAGCCAGCUGGAGGAGACGGUUAAAGGAACCAUUUCGGAGGAGGAUGAACAGCCAGUAGGGCCUCAUUCACAAGGGGCCUGUUCUGUGGCGUAGGUAAUGAGUUUGACCUCGGAUGGAUCCCCUGUCCCCUGUUGCGGCUUAGGUAAUGAGUUUGACCUCGGAUGGAUCCCC
ensembl:lncRNA